rnacentral:rRNA from 1 species
AUGGACCUUGAUGGGGGAUGGCAAGUACACUGUAAGUCCUGUUAUAGACAUCUGGUCCAGAGUGGGUUCAAAUAUCCUUAUAAAUUUCUAUGGAAAAUGAAAAUGCCACCUAGAAUUAAAGUCUUCCUAUGGCUGCUGCUAAGGAAUAGUAUUCUUACUAAAAACAACCUAAAGAAAAGAAGGUGGCAAGGUGAUAGUAGUUGUUCCUUUUGUGGGAGAGAAGAGGACAUAGAUCAUCUCUUUAUACAUUGCUAUGUGGCGAAAAUGCUAUGGAUGGUCAUGAAAUGUUCGCUUGGAAUGCAAGAUAUUCCUGACAAUGUGAAUGAUAUUUUUGGGGGGUGGAUUUAUAAAUUUGAAAAAAAUGACAAGAGUCUUAUGAUGGUUGGUGUUUCUGCAAUGUUAUGGACUAUGUGGAAACUUAGAAAUAGAUUGGUUUUUAAUAAUCAUAGGGUGGUUGACCCCUGUGUUCCUUUACAUGACUGGUGUGUGUUGCAGAAAAACCAAGGAAGAAUAAAGCACAUGAAGGAGGGUGUAAGGCAGUUUGAACAGGUGGCAACGAAGAUCUUCAAAGCUAUGGAUGGAUGGGCGAUGGGAGUCCCUAAGCUAAAAUGCUCCUGA